rnacentral:rRNA from 1 species
UCCGGGGGGGGCAAGCGUUGUUCGGAAUUACUGGGCGUAAAGGGCUCGUAGGCGGCCAACUAAGUCCGACGUGAAAUCCCCAGGCUUAACCUGGGAACUGCGUCGGAUACUGGAUGGCUUGAAUCCGGGAGAGGGAUGCGGAAUUCCAGGUGUAGCGGUGAAAUGCGUAGAUAUCUGGAGGAACACCGGUGGCGAAGGCGGCAUCCUGGACCGGCAUUGACGCUGAGGAGCGAAAGCCAGGGGAGCAAACGGG